AUAGCUUAUUUGCUGUAAGUCCUACAUAAUUGCUAACUGAAUUCUGAUUAAUGACCAUAAGCUUGAGCUUCGCACUCUGGCUGUGCUGACCCCUGCGAUUUCCCCAAACGUGGAAAGCUCAACUGCAUAAUAUGUGGUCGUGGGAGUCUUCAUUUGCCUUCUCCUG
rnacentral:snRNA from 1 species